GAUUUCCUCGAACAGCUCGCACGACUCUUGGGAGUCACAUGAGGAAACUCGUCGGCGACAGCUUGCUGUUUUUCACCGUAACAUUAUUUCGUUAUUUCGGAAGCAGACAAUAUAUAUUUACAGUUUAUAGCUAGUCCCCCCCGCCCGGGUGGCAGGAGCAGGCUUUUGAGAGCAAGCACGUGAACGCAGCAUUGUCGUAUUGACCGCGAGGAUGGAGGAUGCAGCGUGGCCGCCCCUGGCCGCGGGUCGAGGGGUCUGUGGCACAACCACAUCUCCAGUUUCAUUCCAGAGACAGGGAGACAUAGUCUGUCCACUUCAUCCCGAGAGACACAACCCUGAUCCAACAGGAUACUUUCCCAUGGAUCACCUUACCCGACCCAUUUGUUGGAUACAGAGAAAAGUGGCCGCAGAAUUUAAAUGUGUAUUCUCAAAGGAACUGCUGUGAACACCCUGUGUAUGUAACUUGGAAGAUGUAUUUACAGUUGACAGCCGUUCGAUUUGCCCUAUGGUGCUUUAGUGUUUGAAAAAGAGGCCAAGCAGUGACACAAUUAACUGGAAAAGUGCAAGGGCACAACGAAUACAGGCUUAAGUGGUUUGGCACGAGUGAGUGUGUGUGUGUGUGUGUGUGUGUAUGUGUGCAUGUGCGUGUGUGUGUGUGAGUGAGUGCACUUUUAGCUUUCACUUCCACCUGUGUUGUUAAAGUCAAAACACUUGUCGAUGUACAUCACACUGGCACUUGUGAGGUCACUUCUGUUACUGUGUACAAGUUGAUGUACUGUCUUUGUUGUUUGUGUAUAUGCUGUACACGAAAUGUUUUUGUGUGUAAUGUGCGUGUGCAUAAAGCCUCAUGACUGU